rnacentral:snRNA from 1 species
AGCUUUGCACAGUGGCAGUAUUGUAGCCAAUGAGAUUUAUCUGAGGCGCAAUUAUUGCUAAUUGAAAAAAAAUUCAUCACAG